UGCCAAAGCUGGGUCCAUGAC
rnacentral:misc_RNA from 1 species